ACGUAGGGUGCGAGCGUUAAUCGGAAUCACUGGGCUUAAAGGGUCCGUAGGCGGGACUGCAGGCGUCGAGUGAAAUACCACGGCUCAACCGUGGAACUGCUCGGCGAACCGCAGUUCUUGAGGCGAGUAGAGGCGAUCAGAACGAUAGGUGGAGCGGUGAAAUGCGUAGAUAUCUAUCGGAAUGCCGAAGGUGAAGACAGGUCGCUGGGCUCGUCCUGACGCUGAGGGACGAAAGCGUGGGGAGCAAACGGGAUUGGAUACCCCGGUAGUCCACGCCGUAAACAAUGCGCACUGGGUCGGAGAGGUUUGACGCCUUUCUGGCCGAAGCAAAAGUGUUAAGUGCGCCGCCUGGGGAGUACGGUCGCAAGGCUA
rnacentral:rRNA from 1 species